rnacentral:misc_RNA from 1 species
GCCUUGUCUGUUUAUGUGG